UGCAAGCCAGUUGGGCGUGAAUCACGCUUGUCAUAGUUACUCUGAGA
rfam:Drosophila virilis strain TSC#15010-1051.87 Ctg01_14633, whole genome shotgun sequence.